rnacentral:rRNA from 1 species
AUUGAACGCUGGCGGCAGGCCUAACACAUGCAAGUCGAACGCGAAAGUCCUUCGGGAUGAGUAGAGUGGCGGACGGGUGAGUAACGCGUAGGAAUCUGUCCGGUAGUGGGGGAUAACGUUCCGAAAGGAACGCUAAUACCGCAUACGCCCCACGGGGGAAAGGGGGGGAUCCUUCGGGACCUCCCGCUAUCGGAGGAGCCUGCGUCGGAUUAGCUAGUUGGUAGGGUAAAGGCCUACCAAGGCGACGAUCCGUAGCUGGUCUGAGAGGAUGAUCAGCCACACCGGAACUGAGACACGGUCCGGACUCCUACGGGAGGCAGCGGUCGAGAGGCGUCGGCAAUGGGGGAAACCCUGACCGAGCGACGCCGCGUGGGGGAUGAAGGCCCUUGGGUUGUAAACCCCUUUUGUUCGGGAAGAAGUGCGGCCAGGUGAACAAUCUGGUCGUUUGACGGUACCGGACGAAUAAGCUCCGGCUAACUCCGUGCCAGCAGCCGCCGCCGUAA